rnacentral:rRNA from 1 species
AGUGAGCGCUGGCGGUAGGCCUAACACAUGCAAGUCGAACGGCAGCACAGUAAGAGCUUGCUCUUACGGGUGGCGAGUGGCGGACGGGUGAGGAAUACAUCGGAAUCUACUUUUUCGUGGGGGAUAACGUAGGGAAACUUACGCUAAUACCGCAUACGACCUACGGGUGAAAGCAGGGGAUCUUCGGACCUUGCGCGAUUGAAUGAGCCGAUGUCGGAUUAGCUAGUUGGCGGGGUAAGGGCCCACCAAGGCGACGAUCCGUAGCUGGUCUGAGAGGAUGAUCAGCCACACUGGAACUGAGACACGGUCCAGACUCCUACGGGAGGCAGCAGUGGGGAAUAUUGGACAAUGGGCGCAAGCCUGAUCCAGCCAUACCGCGUGGGUGAAGAAGGCCUUCGGGUUGUAAAGCCCUUUUGUUGGGAAAGAAAAGCAGCAGGUUAAUACCCCGCUGUUCUGACGGUACCCAAAGAAUAAGCACCGGCUAACUUCGUG